CACCAUCCUAGAGUGUACAUCUUCUAAUCCGUUAACUAUGUAAUGUAAGCCUUGAAAAUGACUGAGUGACGAAGUGAAUCACAAGAAUAAGUGUAUCUGAGACUCGACCUAAGGAAUGCCACAUAAUACUGGGACAGGGAGGAAAAGAAGAAACAAGCAUACUUUACCUAUGUCUCAACUUUCCUCUGGCUUCAAAUUCAAAGGGAAUCUCUUCACCCGUAAGGACUUCUCGCCACUCACUGACCUUGUGAGCAUCGUCUAGAAAUGCUCCGUUCCCUUCUGGGACCACACCUGGACUCCCACUGUGAGACAAUGCCGCCCUGGAAGCAAUCAGAAGAACCCACUGUCCCUGGUCUCCACCAUUCCCUCCUCAGGGCUCUGUGCUGAGGAGAAGCCCUCUCAGGACAGCCCGCAGCAGUAAGGAGCACAGGCAGACAGAAAGUCCGCUUUAUGCAGUCUGAGGAGAGAUGAACCAGCACAAAUACUUCAUACACUAAGCAGUCACCCUCCCAUGACUGUCUGCAAACCAGGCGGAAUAUUUAAGUAUUCAGGAGUUAUGUGAAGCCCAGCCAAGACUCUUCGGGAAAACCACACAGAAAGACUUGGGGCUGAGUUCAAUUUGGAUGACAAUGGCUUGUGGAACAACCAAGACCAGGCCUUCCAUCACAAUCUCCCCAGCUCUGAGGAAUGCUCCAUGGUGAGGCAUUAAGUAAGGGAAGAAAACAUGGUCAACAAAGAACAAACAGACUCCUCUCCCCUCAAGCGCCUGGGUAUGCAAUUCUUUUGUUCCUUACGAACAAUACAGGGCCCCCCCUCUUAAAAUCACCACAUGGGAUCCACUCUCCCUCUAUUCAAGGAUACAUGUGCAAACCUUCUAGCACUAGCUUCAGAUCUUAGAAGAGAUGUUUUUAAAAAUCCCAAUAAAAAAUACCCAUAUACUGGAA